rnacentral:lncRNA from 1 species
CUGAAGCCUGAGAGUAUGUAUGAGACUUGGGAGGAUGAUCUGGAUGGAAUCCACAUUGUGGCCUUUGCAGAGGAAGCUGACCCUGAUGGUUAUGAGUUCUUAGAGACUCUCAAGGCUGUGGCCCAAGACAACACUGAGAACCCUGACCUCAGUAUCAUCUGGAUUGACCCUGAUGACUUCCCACUGCUGGUCCCGUACUGGGAGAAGACCUUUGACAUCGACUUGUCAGCUCCGCAAAUAGGAGUUGUCAAUGUUACGGAUGCGGACAGCAUAUGGAUGGAGAUGGACGACGAGGAGGACCUUCCUUCUGCUGAGGAGCUGGAGGACUGGCUGGAGGAUGUGCUGGAGGGUGAAAUCAACACAGAGGAUGACGACGACGACGACGACGACGACGAUGAUGACGACGACGACGACGAUGACUAGUUGCUAUGGCAACUCCUUACCAGCCCCCCUUGCUCUUUACAUGUACCUUCCUACCGCCCAUGCACUGCCCCGAGCUCCUUGGGACACUAGGUCAUUCUCUACUAUAGGGCCAACUGUGGUCUACAUGCAGGGUGCUCGAGAUCCUGGUCUCCCUCGCUGGAGAAAAGGAGCUGCUUUAUCUCCGAUACCAGCCCAGUUCUCUCAUCUGACUUGUUUCUUAUCCCGUACCUUAUCUGUAUCUACUGUUUCUCUUCUACCACUCCCCAUACUUAACGAUUUGCAAACUCUUCUCUGUCCCUUCCAUCGGUACAGUCUCCCAUUACUCAAAUCUUAAACCUUUCCGACUGUCCUGACCCUGGCUAGGAGGAAGGGAGGUACUGUGUUAGGGGCUAUAUCUUAGCCAUCUCCUGUUAAUGUAUUUGGGUCAAAUGCAAGGCCUUAAUAAAGAAAUCUGGGGCAGAAUG